rnacentral:rRNA from 1 species
UACAGAGGGGGCGAGCGUUUGUUCGGAAUUACUGGGCGUAAAGGGCGCGUAGGCGGCCUGCUAAGUCAUACGUGAAAUCCCUCGGCUCAACCGGGGAACUGCGUGUGAUACUGGCGGGCUUGAAUCCGGGAGAGGAAUGCGGAAUUCCAGGUGUAGCGGUGAAAUGCGUAGAUAUCUGGAGGAACACCGGUGGCGAAGGCGGCAUUCUGGACCGGCAUUGACGCUGAGACGCGAAAGCGUGGGGAGCGAACAGG